rnacentral:rRNA from 1 species
AGUGAACGCUGGCGGUAGGCCUAACACAUGCAAGUCGAACGGCAGCACAGUAAGAGCUUGCUCUUACGGGUGGCGAGACGCGGGAGGGACAGGUAUACAUCCGACUCUACUUUUUCGUAGGGGAUAACGUAGCGAGACUUACGCUAAUACCGCAUACGACCUACGGGUGAAAGCAUGGGAUCUUCGGACCUUGCGGGAUUGAAUGCGCCGAUGUCGGAUUAGCUAGUUGGCGGGGUAAAGGCCCACCAAGGCGACGAUCCGUAGCUGGUCUGAGAGGAUGAUCAGCCACACUGGAACUGAGACACGGUCCAGAGUCCUACGGGAGGGAGCAGUGUGGAAUAUUGGACAGUAGGCGCGAGCCUGAUCCAGCGGGACCGAGUGUGAUGAGAAGGCCUUGGGGUUGUGAAGCCGUUUUGUUGGGAAAGAAAAGCAGCAGGUUAUUACGCAGCUGUUCUGACGGUACCCAAAGAAUAAGCACCGGCUAACUUCGUG